GUGAAUUGAAUAUGUUAGCGGACCUCUUCGGAGUCCCUAGCAUCAAAUCAUAUCCAUAACACCUGUGAACUGUAAGGCUGUCUUGAAAACGAAAGUGAUUAGAGCGCCUGCCCAUUUAUACAAACAUUAAAGUAACAAACGUAGUCUUAUUAUAAUCUAAUA
rnacentral:misc_RNA from 1 species